rnacentral:rRNA from 1 species
UACGGAGGGUGCAAGCGUUGCUCGGAAUCAUUGGGCGUAAAGCGCGAGUAGGCGGUUUUCUAAGUUUGAUGUGAAAGCCCGGAGCUUAACUUCGGAACUGCAUUGAAUACUGGAAGACUAGAGGAUGACAGAGGGUGGUAGAAUUCCUGGUGUAGGGGUGAAAUCCGUAGAUAUCAGGAGGAAUAUCAGUGGCGAAGGCGGCCACCUGGGUCAUAACUGACGCUGAGACGCGAAAGCGUGGGGAGCAAACAGG